CGCGUAGGCGGGUCACCAAGUCCGGGGUGAAAGCUUUCGGCUUAACCGGAAAAGGGCCUUGGAUACUGGUGGUCUCGAGGGAGGUAGGGGUCUGCGGAACUUCUGGUGGAGCGGUGAAAUGCGUUGAUAUCAGAAGGAACGCCGGUGGCGAAAGCGGCGGACUGGACCUCUUCUGACGCUGAGGCGCGAAAGCCAGGGGAGCAAACG
rnacentral:rRNA from 1 species